UUCUGUAGCAGUCCUGUUACAUUACCAUCUUUCAGGAGGCCUGUCACUAGGCCAUGGCAGUAGGAAAGAGGAGCCGGAAAGGAACAUUGAUGAGGGCAGUUGCAUUCGGUGAUUUCCCAAGAGGAGACAAACACCAAUCUACUGAAGGACUUCGGCUGCCAGCAGCUGUUCUUGACUAUCUGAACAUCUGGUUUUGUAAACGACUUGUAACAAAAACUUCACAAGCUGAGAUUCAUCCUCAAGAGCACAACUGGCAUUUAAAGAGCUUUUAGGAAAAACUUAUUUUAAGGUCAAAGAAUAAAGCAGAAUCAAAAGUUAUAUUGACUCUUUGCCUGGAGGAAAUAAGAAGUAGAUUUAACUUUUCUACGUAUGAUGCUAGGUGUUGUGGUGUACUUCUGUGGCCCAGCUACUUGGGAGGCUGAGGCAGAAGAUCACUGGAUCCCAAGGAGGUUGAGGGUGCAGUGAACUGUGAUUGUAUGUGAUUGCACCGUUACAUUCCAGCCUGAGCAAAAGGACAAUGCCCUGUCUCUGAAAAAAAAAAAAAAAAAUUAACUAACAAAAAACAAAUUAGAAAAAGAAACAUAUUUUAUGUCACAGUUCUCCUCUAGGAGCAUCAAAAUAGCCAUUAAUACAGUAAAGUCACUGAGACUUUUUUGAUUUUUGUUUAGCUGUAUUUAAAAGUAUGUUCACUCUUAUAACUUGCUGUGGAGAAAUUAUUUUGACAGUGAAACUAUUUUUCUCGCCUUGAUACCUAUCAUAUUAGUUUUCUGUGCUGUAAAAAAAUACCACAAAAUGGUGGCUUUGAACAACAGAAGUAUAUUGUCUCAUGUUUCUGAAGCCUAGAAGUCUUAAAUCAAGGUAUGGACUGGGCCAUGCUCCUUCUGAAACUUGUAGAGAAAGGAUCCAUCCUUGCCUCUUCCUGCUUUUGGUAGCCCAGAUGUUCUUUGGUUGGUGGCAGCAUAAUUCCAAUGUUUGUCUCUUUUUUAUAUGUGUUCAAAUUCCUUUUUUAAAAAAAAUGACAUCAGUUGUGUUGGAUAAUGGCUCAUCCUAAUGCCCUCAUUUUUGCCUGAUUAUAUUGAUGAAUAAGUUAUUUCCAAACAAAGUCAUAGUCUGGGUUACCAGGGUAUAGGGCUUUAAGAGGUAUAUUUUUGUGUGGGGCACAAUUAAACUUGUAAUGUCUGUUAACAUGUUCUCUGAGGAACAUAAUUUGGAAUAUACUAUGUACAUAAUCACUCCUCUUAUCUAUUGCAGUGGAAAGGUGGGUGUUGUAUGUGUGAUUUUUAAAUUGUGCAGAACAUGCAAAAACUUCACAGCUAAAGAAAAAUAUGUAAAGUUAACAAUUAUUCCAUAACUGUAAUUUAUGUAAUCUAUCCUUAUUAAUGAGUAUGAA